GUAACUAACCUGUUUAUGAGCUUUGAGAAGCUGCAAUUCAGUUUUCAGCCUAAUGAACUAGCUUGUCUCUGGUCUUGAGCAACUGAAGCUUCAACAACUGUUAACAGGGAACUGCGGAUUGGCCUCCGAGUCUUACACUGUUUGAAUCCCAGGGAUCAGAGAUUUGGAAACUACAGACAUUGCAUUUUUUGUCAGAUUUUCCAUGACAGAAAGCACCACAGCUCUCACUAAGCUCAGCAACAUUUUAUGUGAUGCUAUGGGAGAAUAAGUCAUGCUAUUUCAGAAGUGGCUAUAUAUAUAUAGCGAAGACAAUAAUCACUGAUAGAAUUUAAAAAAAAAAAGUAAAUGUUUUUUUGCUCUAGGAGUGUCUUGUGGGACAUACAGAAGUGCCAGAUUGCAGAAAUGUUAUUUUUGCUAAAGCCGCAGCUCCAGGAGUUAUGAGCAAUAUGAAAUAUAUAUAGCUAGCCUUCAGGUGUUAGAAAUGAAGCAUAGAAAUAGCAAAAUAAAGUUGAAAAUAUCUGAAGGUAAAUUAAAACUAUCAUAAAUUCAUAUAUAUAUUUAUAUGCCUCUUCGAGGUCAAUCUGUUGUCUGGUGUUUUUUUUUUUCAUUGUUUUGUUUUGUGUUUUAAUUUGUUGUGUGUGUGUGUUUGUUGUUUUUGUUUUGAACAGAAGUUUUCCGUGGCUUUUGACAUAAAGAUUCUACUAUACACAUGCAGCUCAGGACUUGUAGGAAUUAGACAGUUUAAUGUGCUUUAGCGUACAGCUAGCAUU